AUUGAACGCUGGCGGCAGGCCUAACACAUGCAAGUCGAGCGCGAAAGUUCUUCGGAAUGAGUAAAGCGGCGGACGGGCGAGUAAUGCAUGGGAAUCUGCCUGGUAGUGGGGGACAACGCUUCGAAAGGAACGCUAAUACCGCAUACGCCCUACGGGGGAAAGGGGGGGAUCUUCGGACCUCUCGCUAUCAGAUGAGCCCAUGUCAGAUUAGCUAGUUGGUGGGGUAAAGGCUCACCAAGGCGACGAUCCGUAACUGGUCUGAGAGGAUGAUCAGUCACACUGGAACUGAGACACGGUCCAGACUCCUACGGGAGGCAGCAGUGGGGAAUAUUGGACAAUGGGCGAAAGCCUGAUCCAGCCAUGCCGCGUGUGUGAAGAAGGCC
rnacentral:rRNA from 1 species